CUAGAUUGCUCUGUAAAGUUUAAUAUAUGUAGGUCUAUUUUUGUAGUUUGAAAUGUUGCAGAAACAGACAUGUUCUUAAAAAAAGCAGGGAAAUACGCCUCGUGAUUGUGAUCAUAACCGAGGCAGAAAGCCCUUUAUGGCAUCGAUUCAGGUCACAACCGAGGCAGAAAGGCUGGCGAAAAAAAAAUAAAAUAAAAAACACUCUACUGCUUUGGUUCAAGUCCCAACCGAGGAAGUAGCAUCUCACAUACUGUCUCGGUUUAAUAGCAAUCGAGGCCUAAAGUCUGUCGAAAAAAAAAUAAAAAAGGAAAACACUCUACUGCUUCGAUUACAUAUGAACGGAGGCAAAAUCUUACCCCUUUUUAUCCCUUUUUGCCUCGUAUGUAUAUACC
rnacentral:lncRNA from 1 species